CGGGUAGCCGGCCUGAGAGGGUGUACGGCCACAUUGGGACUGAGAUACGGCCCAGACUCCUACGGGAGGCAGCAGUGGGGAAUAUUNCACAAUGGGCGGAAGCCUGAUGCAGCGACGCCGCGUGGGGGAUGACGGCCUUCGGGUUGUAAACUCCUUUCGACAGGGACGAAGCUUUUUGUGACGGUACCAGUAUAAGAAGCACCGGCUAACUACGUGCCAGCAGCCGCGGUAAUACGUAGGGUGCGAGCGUUGUCCGGAAUUACUGGGCGUAAAGAGCUCGUAGGUGGUUUGUCGCGUCGUCUGUGAAAUUCCGGGGCUUAACUCCGGGCGUGCAGGCGAUACGGGCAUAACUUGAGUGCUGUAGGGGAGACUGGAAUUCCU
rnacentral:rRNA from 1 species